AUGAACCAGCCCAGGCUGGGGGCUGAUCUGAUGGUGAACAGCUCUUCAGAAAAGGACCUGGGGUUCCUGCUGGACAAGAAGCUCUCUAGAGACGCAGCUCUUGCUCUGCACCUCUCCUCUUUGCACACCUCUGCGUCUGUGCUGGCACCAGGGGCAGGUGCCUGGAAGAGGGUGCCUUUCUCCAUGGAUUUCCACCGGUUCCUUGUGGCCAUGCUGCUCCCUGUGGGCUGGGCCCUUCAGCAGUCACCAGAUACAGUUGUCUGGCUGGGAGACACCGUCACUCUGCAAUGUUCUGCAUCAGGGAAAACUUUUGUAAACAUGUACUGGUACAAGUUACCCAAGGAGAAGGAUGCCAGAAUGCAGCUGGCUGUGUAUUCAGUGGAAGGUGGCAAAGCAGAUAUUGAGAAGGAAUUCCAAAAUCGCUUCCAGAGUAGCGGGACUAGGAACAACCAUUUAGCUGUGCAGAUCCAGCAUGCCCUACGCAACGACACAGGCACAUAUUUCUGUGCUGAAAAAGAUCCACAGUGA